AGCAGUGCGCAUGCUCCAGCCAACAAUGGUCACAAGAUGAUUGAUGUCAGCGGUGGACCAAUGGAAGUACAGGGGCGGGGCUGGAGGACCUGGCGAGGCGGUUGGCCCUCCGACCAAUCAGAGUGAAUGAGAGGCGGGACUUGAUUAUACCACGUGAUCAUCCUCGCGGACAGCGCGGCUGUGCGGGCGGAGAGCUGUCGCACAACCAGAGCUGGACAGAGUAUUCCAGAAGAGGCCUCCCCAACAUCUUGUACAUCCUCAACAUAACGUCCCAACUCCUGUACUCCAAGGUCUGAACAAUCAAGAUCCCAGUGAUUAAUGCCAAAGCCCUGUUGCCUGGGAGAGGGUGAUGUUUGACUUUCUUGUACAGCUGCAGUCUGUGUGGUGAAGGUGCUCCCACAAUGUGGUUGGGAUGAGGCUGUCACUGGCUCGGCCAGCAUUUAUUGCUGCGUUUACCCAGUGGGCAGUUAAGAAUCAACCACGUUGCUAUAGGUCUGGAGUCCCAUGCAGACCAGACCAGAUCCCAGUGAUCAGUGCCAAAGCCCCAUUGCCUGUGGAGAGGGUGAUGUUUGAUUUCCCUGUCCAGCUGCAAUUCAUGUGGUGAAGGUGCUCCCACAAUGUGGUUGGGUGGACAUUCAGAUGGUAAUCUCAGUAAUUGUAACGCCAAACUGUGACAAAAUUACUCAAUUCAUCAGGAGCUGGAUAUUCACAUU